rnacentral:rRNA from 1 species
CCUACGGGUGGCAGCAGUGGGGAAUAUUGCACAAUGGGGGAAACCCUGAUGCAGCGACGCCGCGUGCGUGAAGAAGUAUUUCGGUAUGUAAAGCUCUAUCAGCAGGGAAGAAAAAAGACGGUACCUGACUAAGAAGCCCCGGCUAACUACGUGCCAGCAGCCGCGGUGAUACAUAGGGGGCAAGCGUUAUCCGGAUUUACUGGGUGGAAAGGGAGCGUAGACGGCGCGACUAGUCUGAAGUGAAAGUGAGGGGCUUAACCCCUGAACUGCUUUGGAACCUGGCAUGCUAGAGUGCUGGAGAGGUAAGUGGAAUUCCUAGUGAAGCGGUGAAAUGCGUAGAUAUUAGGAGGAACACCAGUGGCGAAGGCGGCUUACUGGACAGUAACUGACGUUGAGGCUCGAAAGCGUGGGGAGCAAACAGGAUUAGAUACCCGGGUAGUC